UACAGAGGGUGCGAGCGUUGUCCGGAAUCACUGGGCGUAAAGGGCGCGUAGGCGGCUUGGGAAGUAGGGGGUGAAAUCUUGCGGCUCAACUGCAAGGCUGCCUCCUAAACUGUCAGGCUUGAGCACAGUAGAGGCAGGUGGAAUUCCCGGUGUAGCGGUGGAAUGCGUAGAGAUCGGGAAGAACAUCGGUGGCGAAGGCGGCCUGCUGGGCUGUUGCUGACGCUGAGGCGCGACAGCGUGGGGAGCAAACAGG
rnacentral:rRNA from 1 species